rnacentral:tRNA from 1 species
GCCGCGUUAGCUCAGAUGGCAGAGCAUCCGUCUUGUAAACGGAAGGCCGUCGGUUCGAUCCCGACACGCGGCUCCA